GAUACACAGAGAGUCACUCUGACGGCACACAACACCCUGCACGCGCGCUACACUGAUGCACUCAACGAGUCUAUCACCUUGACCGAGAGGUCCGGGUAAUCUUUUGAAAUUGCAUCGUGAUGGGGAUAGAUUAUUGCAACUAUUAAUCUUCAACGAGGAAUUCCUAGUAAGCGUGUGUCAUCAGCGCACGUUGAUUACGUCCCUGCC
rnacentral:ncRNA from 1 species